rnacentral:rRNA from 1 species
GAUGAACGNUAGCGGCAGGNUUAAUACAUGCAAGUNGAGGGACAGCACGGGGUAGCAAUACCUGGUGGCGACCGGCAAACGGGUGCGGAACACGUACGCAACCUUCCCAAAACUGGGGAAUAGCCCUCCGAAAGGAGGAUUAAUACCCCGUAAGAUAAUGGAGUGGCAUCACUUUAUUAUAGCUACGGCGGUUUUGGAUGGGCGUGCGCCUGAUUAGGUAGUUGGCGGGGUAACGGCCCACCAAGCCUGCGAUCAGUAACUGGUGUGAGAGCACGACCAGUCACACGGGCACUGAGACACGGGCCCGACUCCUACGGGAGGCAGCAGUAAGGAAUAUUGGUCAAUGGACGCAAGUCUGAACCAGCCAUGCCGCGUGAAGGAUGAAGGUCCUCUGGAUUGUAAACUUCUUUUAUCUGGGACGAAAAAAGGGAAUUCUUUCUCACUUGACGGUACCAGAGGAAUAAGCACCGGCUAACUCCGUGCCAGCAGCCGCGGUAAUACGGAGGGUGCAAACGUUAUCCGGAUUCACUGGGUUUAAAGGGUGCGUAGGUGGGCAGGUAAGUCAGUGGUGAAAUCUCCGGGCUUAACCCGGAAACUGCCAUAGAUACUAUCUGUCUUGAAUAUCCUGGAGGUGAGCGGAAUAUGUCAUGUAGCGGUGAAAUGCUUAGAUAUGACAUAGAACACCGAUUGCGAAGGCAGCUCACUACGGGAUGAUUGACACUGAGGCACGAAAGCGUGGGGAUCAAACAGGAUUAGAUACCCUGGUAGUCCACGCCCUAAACGAUGGAUACUCGACAUCAGCGAUACACUGUUGGUGUCUGAGCGAAAGCAUUAAGUAUCCCACCUGGGAAGUACGACCGCAAGGUUGAAACUCAAAUGAAUUGACGG